GUCUACGGCCAUGCCACCCUGAACAAGCCCAAUCCCAUCUGAUCUGGAAGUCCAGCAGGGUUAGGCCUGGUUAGUACUUGGAUGGGAGACCACCUAGGAAGACCAGGUGCUGUAGGCG
rnacentral:rRNA from 1 species